ACCUGGGUGGUUCAGUCGGUUAAGCAUCUGACUUCAGCUCAGGUCACGAUCUCAAGGUUUGUGGGUUCAAGCCCCACGUCAGGCU
rfam:Felis catus isolate Cinnamon breed Abyssinian chromosome A2, whole genome shotgun sequence.